AGUCAUCAACCCCUUCCGUUUCGUGCGGAGCGGGUUGGAGCUGGGGGCUCUGCUGCCGUGAGGUGGCUCCCCUCAAAUGCAUCGGUUGGGCCUGUGGGUCGAACUCGACUGGGCGUUGUACCAUCCUCGCUCGACAGAGAGACGUUCCCCUUUUGUGCCCUCCCACGACCUGCCCAUUUGGAGAGGCGGUCAAGCUAUACUUUGAA
rnacentral:misc_RNA from 1 species